rnacentral:rRNA from 1 species
AGAGUUUGAUCAUGGCUCAGAUUGAACGCUGGCGGCAGGCCUAACACAUGCAAGUCGAGCGGUAACAGAAAGAAAGCUUGCUUUCUUUGCUGACGAGCGGCGGACGGGUGAGUAAUGCCUGGGAAUAUACCCUGAUGUGGGGGAUAACUAUUGGAAACGAUAGCUAAUACCGCAUAAUCUCUUCGGAGCAAAGAGGGGGACCUUCGGGCCUCUCGCGUCUGGAUUAGCCCAGGUGGGAUUAGCUUGUUGGUGAGGUAAAGGCUCACCAAGGCAACGAUCCCUAGCUGGUCUGAGAGGAUGAUCAGCCACACUGGAACUGAGACACGGUCCAGACUCCUACGGGAGGCAGCAGUGGGGAAUAUUGCACAAUGGGGGAAACCCUGAUGCAGCCAUGCCGCGUGUAUGAAGAAGGCCUUCGGGUUGUAAAGUACUUUCAGUUGUGAGGAAGGCAGUUAAGUUAAUAGCUUAGCUGUUUGACGUUAGCAACAGAAGAAGCACCGGCUAACUCCGUGCCAGCAGCCGCGGUAAUACGGAGGGUGCGAGCGUUAAUCGGAAUUACUGGGCGUAAAGCGCAUGCAGGUGGUCUGUUAAGCAAGAUGUGAAAGCCCGGGGCUCAACCUCGGAACAGCAUUUUGAACUGGCAGACUAGAGUACUGUAGAGGGGGGUAGAAUUUCA